CCUAAACGGCGAAACUGCGAAUGGCUCAUUAAAUCAGUUAUCGUUUAUUUGAUAGUACCUACUACAUGGAUAACCGUGGUAAUUCUAGAGCUAAUACAUGCUAAAAAUCCCGACUUCGGAAGGGAUGUAUUUAUUAGAUUAAAAACCAAUGCCCUUCGGGGCUCCCUGGUGAUUCAUAAUAACUUCUCGAAUCGCAUGGCCUUGCGCUGGCGAUGGUUCAUUCAAAUUUCUGCCCUAUCAACUUUCGACGGCUGGGUCUUGGCCAGCCAUGGUGACAACGGGUAACGGAGGGUUAGGGCUCGACCCCGGAGAAGGAGCCUGAGAAACGGCUACUACAUCCAAGGAAGGCAGCAGGCGCGCAAAUUACCCAAUCCCGAUACGGGGAGGUAGUGACAAUAAAUACUGAUACAGGGCUCUUUUGGGUCUUGUAAUUGGAAUGAGUACAAUUUAAAUCCCUUAACGAGGAACAAUUGGAGGGCAAGUCUGGUGCCAGCAGCCGCGGUAAUUCCAGCUCCAAUAGCGUAUAUUAAAGUUGUUGCAGUUAAAAAGCUCGUAGUUGAACCUUGGGCCUGGCUGGCCGGUCCGCCUCACCGCGUGCACUGGUCCGGCCGGGCCUUUCCCUCUGGGGAGCCGCAUGCCCUUCACUGGGUGUGUCGGGGAACCAGGACUUUUACUGUGAAAAAAUUAGAGUGUUCAAAGCAGGCCUAUGCUCGAAUACAUUAGCAUGGAAUAAUAGAAUAGGACGUGCGGUUCUAUUUUGUUGGUUUCUAGGACCGCCGUAAUGAUUAAUAGGGACAGUCGGGGGCAUCAGUAUUCAAUUGUCAGAGGUGAAAUUCUUGGAUUUAUUGAAGACUAACUACUGCGAAAGCAUUUGCCAAGGAUGUUUUCAUUAAUCAGGAACGAAAGUUAGGGGAUCGAAGACGAUCAGAUACCGUCGUAGUCUUAACCAUAAACUAUGCCGACUAGGGAUCGGGCGGUGUUAUUUUUUGACCCGCUCGGCACCUUACACGAAAGUAAAGUUUUUGGGUUCUGGGGGGAGU
rnacentral:rRNA from 1 species